GACGAACGCUGGCGGCGUGCCUAAUACAUGCAAGUAGAACGCUGAAGGAGGAGCUUGCUUCUCUGGAUGAGUUGCGAACGGGUGAGUAACGCGUAGGUAACCUGCCUGGUAGCGGGGGAUAACUAUUGGAAACGAUAGCUAAUACCGCAUAAGAGUAGAUGUUGCAUGACAUUUGCUUAAAAGGUGCAAUUGCCUCACUACCAGAUGGACCUGCGUUGUAUUAGCUAGUUGGUGGGGUAACGGCUUACCAAGGCGACGAUACAUAGCCGACCUGAGAGGGUGAGCGGCCACACUGGGACUGAGACACGGCCCAGACUCCUACGGGAGGCAGCAGUAGGGAAUCUUCGGCAAUGGACGGAAGUCUGACCGAGCAACGCCGCGUGAGUGAAGAAGGUUUUCGGAUCGGAAAGCUCUGUUGUAAGAGAAGAACGAGUGUGAGAGUGGAAAGUUCACACUGUGACGGUAUCUGACCAGAAAGGGACGGCUAACUACGUG
rnacentral:rRNA from 1 species